UUGGAGGGCAAGUCUGGUGCCAGCAGCCGCGGUAAUUCCAGCUCCAAUAGCGUAUAUUAAAGUUGUUGCAGUUAAAAAGCUCGUAGUUGAAUUUCGGGGUCAAUAAGUUGGUCGUGCCAAUGGUAUGCACUGGCUUUAUUGAUUCCUACCUCUUGACGAACUGUGAUGCCAUUAAUUUGGUGUCGCAAGGAAUCAGGACUGUUACCUUGAAAAAAUUAGAGUGUUUAAAGCAGGCUUACGCUUGAAUACAUUAGCAUGGAAUAAUGAAAUAGGACGUUUGAACCUAUUUUGUUGGUUUCUAGGAUCGACGUAAUGAUUAAUAGGGAUAGUUGGGGGCAUUAGUAUUCAAUUGUCAGAGGUGAAAUUCUUGGAUUUAUUGAAGACUAACUACUGCGAAAGCAUUUGCCAAGGAUGUUUUCAUUAAUCAAGAACGAAAGUUAGGGGAUCGAAGACGAUCAGAUACCGUCGUAGUCUUAACCAUAAACUAUGCCGACUAGGGAUCGGAUGAUGUUAAUUUUUUAAUGACUCAUUCGGCGCCUUACGGGAAACCAAAGUGUUUGGGUUC
rnacentral:rRNA from 1 species